rnacentral:rRNA from 1 species
UGAGGAAUAUUGCACAAUGGGGGCAACCCUGAUGCAGCAACGCCGCGUGGAGGAUGAAGGUCUUUGGAUUGUAAACUCCUUUUUCUGGGGAAGAGAACGGACGGUACCCGGAGAAUAAGUCACGGCUAACUACGUGCCAGCAGCCGCGGUAAUACGUAGGUGGCGAGCGUUAUCCGGAAUUACUGGGCGUAAAGGGCACGCAGGCGGCCAUUCAAGUCUGACGUGAAAGCUCCUGGCUUAACUGGGAGAGGUCGUUGGAGACUGAGUGGCUUGAGGCGAUGAGAGGGGUGCGGAAUUCCCGGUGUAGUGGUGGAAUGCGUAGAUAUAUGGAGGAACACCAGUGGCGAAGGCGACUCUCUGGUCUGUAACUGACGCUGAGGCUCGAAAGCGUGGGGAGCAAACAGG